AUCUAACUGACCAGUCCGAAAUAGGACGAAAUGCGCGUCGUGGAU
rnacentral:hammerhead_ribozyme from 1 species